rnacentral:misc_RNA from 1 species
AUAAUUUUAUAGAACUAACUUUAAGUGACUAAACUCACUACAAAUUAUAACAGAUUUGUUGUCUUUAUUGAAAGGAACAGUAUUUAUUUUUACCAUUUUAUUGGUAUUUUUUAUUGAUAUUAUUGUUUUUUAACGUAUGAUACAAUUAUGUUGUGCAUUAUUCAAAAGCGUAUAAUACAAAAAACAUACUGUCUAACACGACAGUUUACUUUAAAGGCUAUUUUUUGUCAACAAAACCAAUCUGAAGAACAUAUAUUAACACCUGAAACCAAUUUUACAUCUAUACGAAGAGAAAAUACUUCAUUUCUAAGAAUUGCAAUAAUUGGUGCACCAAAUGCUGGAAAAAGCACCCUUAUAAAUAGCCUUGUAAAUAGAUCUAUAUGUCCUACUUCGUCAAAAGUUCAUACAACUCAAACAAAAUGUGAUGCAGUAUAUUCAUCAGAAAAUACGCAACUUGUUUUUGUUGAUACUCCUGGUCUUGUAACAAAACAUGAACAAAAUAGAUAUAAAUUAAGUAGCAGCUUUCAGGAUGACCCAAAGGCCUCCGCUAACAUAGCAGAUAUUAUUGGAGUUGUACACGAUGUAUCGAACAGGCAUACUAGAAAUAAGUUACAUAGCAAUAUUCUUGAUUUAUUGAAAUCUCUACAAUCUGAAAUACCUACGAUACUAAUUAUAAAUAAAAUUGAUAGAAUAAAAGAUAAACAUACACUAUUGGAGGUUAUUAGAAUAUUAACAAAUAAAAACUGUUGGCCAAAUUUCUCUGAUGUAUUUUUAAUAUCUGCACUAACUUCUGAUGGUAUAAAUAAUUUAAAAGAGUAUUUAAUGUAUUCUGCAAAAUCUAAAAAUUGGCAAUAUAACGAAGAAACUUAUACAGAUCAAUCAAUAGAAACAAUCGUAAAACAAACAGUACGUGCUAAACUAUUGGACUUUCUACCUAAUGAAAUUCCUUACUUGUCACAUUUGACAUUAGAAUAUUUGCAAAAAUCUUCAGAAGGAGGAAUAAUUGCUUCUGUUAUAGUAGAAAAUUCUAGUAAAAAAAAGACUUCCAUUAUAAUUGGUGAUCAUCGUUGGAAUAAACAUCAACCUUAUUUGAGUGACUUUUACUAGAGUUUUUUAAAUGACUGCAUUUUUAAAUAAUUGUAUAUAUGCAUUUCUGAAGGCACACACAUUUUGUAUUGUCAUCGCGUUAAGUAUAUACUAGCGCCCACUGGUGAUCAGGUUAUGCGAAAAGUGG